rnacentral:rRNA from 1 species
AAUCAACGCUGGCGGCGUGCCUAACACAUGCAAGUCGAGCGUGAAAGGGGGCUUCGGUCCCUGAGUAGAGCGGCGGACGGGUGAGUAACGCGUGGGUAACCUACCCUCGGGUGAGGAAUAACUCAGGGAAACCUGGGCUAAUACCGCAUAAUAUUCCGGGAUCGCAAGAAUCCGGGAUCAAAGCUGGGGACCCUUCGGGGCCUGGCGCCUGUGGAGGGGCCCGCGACCGAUUAGCUUGUUGGUGAGGUAAUGGCUCACCAAGGCUGCGAUCGGUAGCCGGCCUGAGAGGGCGGACGGCCACACUGGGACUGAGACACGGCCCAGACUCCUACGGGAGGCAGCAGUGGGGAAUUUUUGGCAAUGGGGGCAACCCUGACCAAGCAACGCCGCGUGAAGGACGAAGGCCUUCGGGUCGUAAACUUCUGUCGGAGGGGACGAAAGCGAUUGGGGCGAAUAACCUCAGUCGUUGACGGUACCCUAGGAGGAAGCCCCGGCUAACUCCGUG